GUCACUUAUCCGUUCUUCUGCCUCAGUUAUUCUGCUCUUGAUUCCUUCUAAUGUAUUUUUCAUUUCAGUUAUUGCAUUGUUCAUCUCUGUUUGUUUGUUCUUUAAUUCUUCUAGGUGUUCUUCAAUUUUUCUAGGUCUUUGUUAAACAUUUCUUUCAUCUUCUUGAUCUUUGCCUCCUUUCUUUAUCCGAGGUCCUAUAUCAUCUUCACUAUCAUUAUUCUGAAUUCUUUUUCUGGAAGGGUGCCUAUCUUCACUUCAUUUAGUUGUUUUUCUGAGGUUUUAUUUUGUUCUUUGAUUUGGUGCAUAGUCCUCUGCCUUUUCAUUUUGUCUUUCUGUGAAUGUGGUUUUCGUUACACAGGCUGCAGAAUUGUAGUUCUUCUUGCUUCUGCUCUCUGCCUUCUUGUGGAUGAGGCUGUCUAAGAGGCUUAUGCAAGCUUCCUGAUGGGAGGGACUGGUGGUGGGUAGAGCUGGGUGUUGCCCUGGUGGGCAGAGCUGAGUAAAACUUUAAUCCGCUUGUCUGCUGAUGGGUGGGGCUGGGUUCUGUCCCUGUUAGUUGUUUGGCCUGAGGGAACCCAACACUGGCGCUUACAGGCUCUUUGGUGGGGCUAAAGGUGAGUCAGGGAGGGCUCAUGCCAAGGAGUGCUUCCCAGACCUUCUGCUGCCAGUGUCCUUGUCCUCACGGUGAGCCACAGCCACCCACCGCCUCUGCAGGAGACCCUCCAACGCUAGCAGCUUCCAGGUGCCACCACUCUCCCCCUUCUGUCCCACAUCUGGGCGGCUGAUACGGGACACCAGGUGCCCUCUCCCUUGGCUUCCGCGGGAAGGUCCAACCAGGUAAGCCAAGGAGACCCUUGCCAAGGAGAACCCUCGGCCCGGCCCGGCCAUGGAAACCCCAAGCAGAUCCCCUGUCUCUGCUCUCUCAAGCUGUUUCUGGACCUGCUUCCAUGCUGCCCUCCUCAGAGGCUGCAUCGUAUGAUAAAACCAAGACUCAGAGAAUUAAACCCAACUUGGACCUGAAUUCAAAGCCCACGCUUGCCAUUCCAAAGACAUUGCUUUAUGUCAUCGCACUGCCUGGUGGCGGUUUGGACCUGGGCGGGCCGGAAGGAUGUGCGUAACCGAACUCCUGUAGCUGGGAUAAAGGACGUCUUCGAGUCAUCAGACUUCGAUUAGUUACAACCCAGCCUCAGGUUUUACUAGUUUGAAAUCCUGCAGUGCUUGCCUUUCCACCAGAUGUCACCAUUUACCGGCCCUCACUCUCUCCGGUCUUUUAAGAAACAAGGGAGCAGUGUCUUGCCGUUGGGAUCCUCAGCGUGGUGAUUGCAUCUGCGCCUGGGAUGGAGGGCCCUGUGACAAGAAGGCCGCUGGGCACUGAAUCUUGACUCAGCGAGGAGGAAUUUGAAAAUGUAGUCAGCCUUCCACUUCCCCGAUUUCCUACAAUCCAAAGGCAUUCUUUUUUUUUCUCUCCCCCUUGUGAUUUCAUGUCUGUAAAAAACAGCCCAUUUCUGAUGGACGAGCCAAGCAGAGUUAUCUGGCCUUUGGCUGAGACUGCAUUGG